GGGGGCGGCGCCUUCUCCGCCGGGGACGGGCACGGGCGGGCUCGGGCGAGAUGGAGCCGUGACCAGUGACUGGGGAGAGAGCUGCUGGCAUGGAAGUGAGCUGGGUUUGUCCGUGGGAACUGUGAGUAAGGGUUCAGAUUGCCAUCACAAUGGGAAAACAAGCAUGUUUCAAGGUGUAGCUUCCCAUCAGAACAGCAGGCUGAAUUGACUUGCUCUAUUGGCUGCAGAGUCACUGCUUGAGGGAGAGAAGGU